UACGUAGGGACCAAGCGUUGUUCGGAUUUACUGGGCGUAAAGGGCGCGUAGGCGGCGUGACAAGUCACUUGUGAAAUCUCCGGGCUUAACUCGGAACGGCCAAGUGAUACUGUCGUGCUAGAGUGCAGAAGGGGCAAUCGGAAUUCUUGGUGUAGCGGUGAAAUGCGUAGAUAUCAAGAGGAACACCUGAGGUGAAGACGGGUUGCUGGGCUGACACUGACGCUGAGGCGCGAAGGCUAGGGGAGCAAACGGG
rnacentral:rRNA from 1 species